AAAGAACUCAAUAUAAAAACAUGUUAGUUUCUUAAUUUGUCCCAUAUUUACAGAUCUCUCUCAAUGAUUUUGGAGAUAUCAUGCAAAUAAACAAGAUGAACUCUUGCUUAACUUAGCUAUCAUCCACAUGAUGAGUUUGACAUUAUCGACCCUCAAAGGACUAAUUAUUCAAAACCAAGCUUGACAUAAAUGGUGUUGACAACAAGAAACCUUGCCCUACCAUCUUAC
rnacentral:lncRNA from 1 species